CCACCAGCAGAGAGAUUCUUUUCCUUCUUCCAAUAUCUCUUCCAUUUAAAGAGGACAAUCAAAUCCAGUGUCUCACUGUUGCUACCUUAACUACAGAGAAAAUUCAAACUGCCAUUGUAAUGUGGGAAAGCAAUGGAGUGCAGCCAUACCCAAGUGGGAUACAAUAAGCCACUCCAGCACCUGGGGCACGGGGUUAACCUCUCUGAACUCUGAUUUCCUUCUGUCUCUGUGGUUAGCACAGGACCAAGUCAGAGAAUUACGGAUCUCCAUCAAAGAGGGCUGUCAAGACUGUAAUGAAGAUGGAAGCUAGGAGAGAAGCACAGUUCAGAAGCCCAACAUUUCAACGCAACGAAUACAAACCCAUAAAUACUGGCCUCAGUUCCCUAGGUAGCAUUUGCUCCCUGCUAUUCCCUCAAGUUCCCAAUUAUCACCUUGCUUACUAAUCUACUCCUGCCUCUACUCAGAGACCACCUGACUGCAUUCAUCCUUUAUGUUUAAAAAUAAUAAUAAUAAUAAUAAUAAUAAUAAUAAGGAAACCAAAGGAAGAUGUCACUAUUGCUUUUUCACAUGGGCUUCUGCUUUAGCUUUUUAUUCUUUUUUUUAAAAAACAAAAGUGAA